rnacentral:rRNA from 1 species
AGUGAACGCUGGCGGUAGGCCUAACACAUGCAAGUCGAACGGCAGCACAGUAAGAGCUUGCUCUUACGGGUGGCGAGUGGCGGACGGGUGAGGAAUACAUCGGAAUCUACUUUUUCGUGGGGGAUAACGUAGGGAAACUUACGCUAAUACCGCAUACGACCUACGGGUGAAAGCAGGGGAUCUUCGGACCUUGCGCGAUUGAAUGAGCCGAUGUCGGAUUAGCUAGUUGGCGGGGUAAAGGCCCACCUAGGCGACGAUCCGUAGCUGGUCUGAGAGGAUGAUCAGCCACACUGGAACUGAGACACGGUCCAGACUCCUACGGGAGGCAGCAGUGGGGAAUAUUGGACAAUGGGCGCAAGCAUGAUCCAGCCAUACCGCGUGGGUGAAGAAGGACUUCGGGUUGUAAAGCCCUUUUGUUGGGAAAGAAAAGCAGCAGGUUAAUACCCCGCUGUUCUGACGGUACCCAAAGAAUAAGCACCGGCUAACUUCGUG